rnacentral:misc_RNA from 1 species
CAACACGAAGGCUGCAAGAAAAAUAAACGAAAUGUCUGCCGACAAAGUCCNGCGAAGUGGCGAGCCAGCGGCGGCAGCACCCCCUGAGAUAGAUCCCGCCGCACAGAAGAUGCUAGAAGAGUUGCGAAAGCUAAGUGACGCAGCUCGGCUGAGAGCUGUGCAUGCUAUAGUAAACAAACAAACGAGGGAAAUAGCCCAGGUGCGGCAAGAGUCACGUAUUCAAUUAGCAAUCUGUGAACAGACUCUUGCUGAUCUUCGUGAGUUUAAACAAAGGUUUGGAUAGGUGCAUUACGACCCACUGACCAUGAUGAAGAAAACCUCGAAUAGGAUAAACUGGAUGACAAAGGGGACGAUCCCAGAGAGGAUGAUAGAAAAGACGAAGGGGGAGACCCCCAAAAAGACGAUGAU